rnacentral:rRNA from 1 species
GAUUAACGCUGGCGGCGUGCCUAACACAUGCAAGUCGAACGAGGUAGCAAUACCUAGUGGCAGACGGGUGAGUAACGCGUGGUCAACCUACCGUUGAGUGGGGGAGUAACUAGCCGAAGGUUAGCUAAUACCGCAUACGUCUCCGAGUGGCAUCACUUGGCGAUAAAAGGAAGCAAUCCGCUCGAUGACGGGACCGCGUCCCAUUAGCUAGAUGGUGGGGUAACGGCCUACCAUGGCACCGAUGGGUAG